rnacentral:rRNA from 1 species
GAUGAACGCUGGCGGCGUGCCUAAUACAUGCAAGUCGAGCGAACGGACGCUGAUCUUGCUUCUCUGUUGUUAGCGGCGGACGGGUGUGUAACACGUGGAUCACCUACCUGUAAUACUGGGAUCACUUCGGGAAACCGUAGCUAAUCCCGGAUAAUAUUUUGAACCGCAUGGUUGGAAAGUGAAAGACGGUCUUUCUGUCACUUAUCGCUGGUUCCGCGCUGCAUUAGCUAGUUGGUGAUCUAACGGCUUAUCAAGGCAACGAUGCAUAUCCGAACGGAGGGGGGGAUAGGCCACACUGGAACGGAGACACGGACCAGAGUACUAAGGGAGGCAGCAGUCGCGAACCGGCCGCAGCAGGGGAGAGCCUUACGGAGCAGCGCCGCGUCAGAGAUGAAGGCCCUCGGAUCGUAAAACCCGGUUACUGGGGAAGAACCUAUUUGUAAGUAGAUGAGCACUUAUUGACGGUACUUAAUAAGAAAGCACCGGCUAACUACGUG